UAGGGAAUCUUCCACAAUGGACGCAAGUCUGAUGGAGCAACGCCGCGUGAGUGAAGAAGGUUUUCGGACCGUAAAGCUCUGUUGUUGGUGAAGAAGGAUAGAGGUAGUAACUGGCCCUUUAUUUGACGGUAAUCAACCAGAAAGUCACGGCUAACUACGUGCCAGCAGCCGCGGUAAUUCGUAGGUGGCAAGCGUUGUCCGGAUUUAUUGGGCGUAAAGCGAGCGCAGGCGGAAGAAUAAGUCUGAUGUGAAAGCCCUCGGCUUAACCGAGGAAUUGCAUCGGAAACUGUUUUUCUUGAGUGCAGAAGAGGAGAGUAGAACUCCAUGUGUAGCGGUGGAAUGCGUAGAUAUAUGGAAGAAUACCAGUGGCGAAGGCGGCUCUCUGGUCUGCAACUGACGCUGAGGCUCGAAAGCAUGGGUAGCGAACAGGAUU
rnacentral:rRNA from 1 species